CCUACGGGAGGCAGCAGUGAGGAAUAUUGGUCAAUGGGCGGAAGCCUGAACCAGCCAAGUAGCGUGCAGGAUGACGGCCCUACGGGUUGUAAACUGCUUUUAUACGGGAAUAACGCGCCUUACGUGUAGGGCUUUGCAUGUACCCUAUGAAUAAGGACCGGCUAAUUCCGUUCCAGCAGCCGCGGUAAUACGGAAGGUCCGGGCGUUAUCCGGAUUUAUUGGGUUUAAAGGGAGCGUAGGCCGCAUGUCAAGCGUGCUGUGAAAUGUCCGGGCUCAACCCGGGACUUGCAGCGCGAACUGGCGGGCUGGAGUGCGCGGAAAGCAGGCGGAAUGCGUGGUGUAGCGGUGAAAUGCUUAGAUAUCACGCAGAACCCCGAUUGCGAAGGCAGCCUGCCAAGCCAUGACUGACGCUGAUGCACGAAAGCGUGGGGAUCAAACAGGAUUAGAUACCCUUGUAGUC
rnacentral:rRNA from 1 species